rnacentral:lncRNA from 1 species
AAGCAAAGAUUACCUCAUCAGCAAUCUUGGGAGGUGGCAUAUCCCCAACCAAGUCUACCACCUGUGGCUCCACCACUUGUUAGGACUUCCCCUUGUCUGGGCAAGAAGACUUUGCCACAACGGGCAAACCCAUGGGAGCAUCUGCAGAACUCAAAAAGCAACAAAUCAAAAACCAAUAGCACAAACAAAGGUAAAACAUAAAAAAUGCAUUACCUUCUGGUUCGACGUUUGGGGGUUGACGCCCUGAGAAGAAGGUGGCUCAUCCAUUGGUUGUGAUGAGGAUUCCGAGACUGAAGGUUUCUCUUUAAGCGUAGUCCCUUCAUCAGCUGGUUUGGAUGAAGCAGCCUUAGCAGAGGAUGAUGGAGCAGGAGUUACCAACACCAAAGCCUUCAAAGGAGAGGUUGAACUUUUCUGAAAAAUUCGAAUAAACCAUCAGCAUAUAGAAAAGUUUCAAGUAUAGAAAUGUAUGCUUGUGAGUAAACUAAUUUAAUUACAUUUCUCCUAACGAUGAGAGGAGUGUCAUCAUCAUCAUCCUCCAAAAUAGG